rnacentral:lncRNA from 1 species
AUGGAUGAGGAGAGAGAGGAGGAGGGUCCUACCUCUAAGACCACUCUGUCUGGGGAUCUUGGCCGCCGGAGCAAAGCUAAAAGAAGAGUCCAGCAGGAGAGAGCAGACUCCCCUGGACCCAGCUGUGUCUCCAUGAAGAGUGACCACUCCAUGAA